rnacentral:rRNA from 1 species
GGACGAACGCUGGCGGCGUGCCUAACACAUGCAAGUCGAACGAAGUAUAUUUCGGAUAUGCUUAGUGGCGGACGGGUGAGUAACGCGUGAACAAUCUGCCCUGUACACAGGAAUAGCCUCGGGAAACUGGGAUUAAAACCGGAUAACACUUCUUGGUCGCAUGACUUAGAAGUCAAAUUGAUUUAGAGGUACAGGAUGAGUUCGCGUCUGAUUAGCUAGUUGGUGAGGUAAAUGGCUCACCAAGGCGACGAUCAGUAGCCGGCCUGAGAGGGUGAACGGCCACACUGGAACUGAGACACGGUCCAGACUCCUACGGGAGGCAGCAGUGGGGAAUAUUGCACAAUGGAGGAAACUCUGAUGCCAGCGACGCCGCGUGAGUGAAGAAGGUCUUCGGAUCGUAAAACUCUGUCCUUGGUGAAGAAUAAAAUGACGGUAGCCAAGGAGGAAGCCCCGGCUAACUACGUGCCAGCCGCUGC